UACGUAGGUGGCAAGCGUUGUUCGGAAUUACUGGGCGUAAAGCGCACGUAGGCGGCUUUGUAAGUUAGAGGUGAAAGCCCGGGGCUCAACCCCGGAAUUGCCUUUAAGACUGCAUCGCUAGAAUUGUGGAGAGGUAAGUGGAAUUCCGAGUGUAGAGGUGAAAUUCGUAGAUAUUCGGAAGAACACCAGUGGCGAAGGCGACUUACUGGACGCAUAUUGACGCUGAGGCGCGAAAGCUAGGGGAGCAAACGGG
rnacentral:rRNA from 1 species